AUUGAACGCUGUCGGCAUGCUUAACACAUGCAAGUCGAACGCGAGCGGGCUUCGGCCCAAGUAGAGUGGCGGACGGUGAGUAAUGCGUGGGGAAUCUACCCUCGAGCGGGGGACAACCCGGGGAAACCCGGGCUAAUACCGCAUACGUCCUACGGGAGAAAGCGGGCCUCUACACUAUGCUCGCACUCGAGGAUGAGCCCACGUCCGAUUAGCUAGUUGGUAGGGUAACGGCCUACCAAGGCCACGAUCGGUAGCUGGUCUGAGAGGAUGAUCAGCCACACUGGGACUGAGACACGGCCCAGACUCCUACGGAGGCAGCAGUGGGGAAUAUUGGACAAUGGGCGCAAGCCUGAUCCAGCAAUGCCGCGUGUGUGAAGAAGGCCUGCGGGUUGUAAAGCACUUUCAGUGGGGAAGAACGGAUACGGGCCAAUACCCCGCAUCACUGACGUUACCCACAGAAGAAGCACCGGCUAACUCCGUGCCAGCAGCCGCGGU
rnacentral:rRNA from 1 species